rnacentral:rRNA from 1 species
AGUGAACGCUGGCGGUAGGCCUAACACAUGCAAGUCGAACGGCAGCACAGUAAGAGCUUGCUCUUACGGGUGGGGAGUGGCGGACGGGUGAGGAAUACAUCGGAAUCUACAUUUUCGUGGGGGAUAACGUAGGGAAACCUACGCUAAUACCGCAUACGACCUACGGGGGAAAGCAGGGGAUCUUCGGACCUUGCGCGAUUGAAUGAGCCGAUGUCGGAUUAGCUAGUUGGCGGGGUAAAGGCCCACCAAGGCGACGAUCCGUAGCUGGUCUGAGAGGAUGGUCAGCCACACUGGAAGUGAGACACGCUCCAUACUCCUGCGGGACGCAGCAGUGGGGAAUAUUGGACAAUGGGCGCAAGCCUGAUCCAGCCAUACCGCGUGGGUGAAGAAGGCCUUCGGGUUGUAAAGCCCUUUUGUUGGGAAAGAAAAGCAGCAGGUUAAUACCCCGCUGUUCUGACGGUACCCAAAGAAUAAGCACCGGCUAACUUCGUG